rnacentral:misc_RNA from 1 species
GAUGAAGAACGUAGCGAAAUGCGAUAAGUAAUGUGAAUUGCAGAAUCCAGUAAAUCAUCGAAUCUUUGAACGCACAUUGCGCCCGCCAGCAUUCUGGCGGGCAUGCCUGUUCGAGCGUCAUUUCAACCCUCGACCUCCCUUUGGGGAAGUCGGCGUUGGGGACCGGCAGCACACCGCCGGCCCUGAAAUGGAGUGGCGGCCCGUCCGCGGCGACCUCUGCGUAGUAAACCAACUCGCACCGGAACCCCGACGUGGCCACGCCGUAAAACACCCAACUUCUGAACGUUGACCUCGAAUCAGGUAGGACUACCCGCUGAACUUAAGCAUAUCAAUAAGCGGAGGA